AUAUCCCACCUGAGUAAUGUCAUUGUGAAUUUCGUAUUUCAAUUUGUUGUGCAGAAACACAUGCUAGAAGCUGGUAACAGCUAAAUAAAAAUAGAAGUUAAGAUCAAUUAAGUAUGGAUCUAAUUUAGAGAUGCACAGCAAGACUGACCUUGUUGAUCAUAUUAAAUGAAAAUAAACCUGAUGCUUUGUUGGACUGAAGAUUUAAGUUCUCAGAAGAGAAAUUGUGAAAGAUUGGAUGGAUGAUUCCAUGGAUAUUAGUUCAUUGAACCCAAUUGGGCCGUUUUUUUUAUCCUUUUUUAUUGGAGAACUAAAUGGUUUCUUCACCAUUUUCGAAGUCCUUUAAAAUGUUAGCAUAAUCUGACAGAAAUUGAUGUUGUGGAUAUUUCUGUUGAAUCAAUAUGUUUAUUUGAUGCAGCGCAACCCUUAUUUUUGAGGUGGA
rnacentral:misc_RNA from 1 species